CUCCAAAAUAUUGAGUUCAGUUCAGGGCAGCUUCCCUGUUCUGGUCAUUGAACUUUGAGGGAAAAUUGAAAUUCUCAAUAU